rnacentral:tRNA from 1 species
GGUCCCGUAGUGUAGCGGUUAACACGUCGCCCUGUCACGGCGAAGAUCGCGGGUUCGAUUCCCGUCGGGACCG